rnacentral:rRNA from 1 species
GAUGAACGCUCGCUACAGGCUUAACACAUGCAAGUCGAGGGGAAACGACAUCGAAAGCUUGCUUUUGAUGGGCGUCGACCGGCGCACGGGUGAGUAACGCGUAUCCCACCUGCCCACCACUUGGGGAUAACCUUGCGAAAGUAAGACUAAUACCCAAUGACGUCUCUAGAAGACAUCUGAAAGAGAUUAAAGAUUUAUCGGUGAUGGAUGGGGAUGCGUCUGAUUAGCUUGUUGGCGGGGUAACGGCCCACCAAGGCGACGAUCAGUAGGGGUUCUGAGAGGAAGGUCCCCCACAUUGGAACUGAGACACGGUCCAAACUCCUACGGGAGGCAGCAGUGAGGAAUAUUGGUCAAUGGACGAGAGUCUGAACCAGCCAAGUAGCGUGCAGGAUGACGGCCCUAUGGGUUGUAAACUGCUUUUAUAAGGGAAUAAAGUGAGUCUCGUGAGACUUUUUGCAUGUACCUUAUGAAUAAGGACCGGCUAAUUCCGUG